rnacentral:lncRNA from 1 species
AGCUAUUGUUAGUGUUAGUGUAUUUUUUGUGUGGCCCAAGACAAUCUUCUUCCAGUGUGGCCCAGGGAAGCCAAAAAAUUGGACACACUUGAUGUAAACAUUUCAAGAAAAUUCAGACUAUAUGAUCACUCAAGACAGCCGAUUCACCAGCCUUCUGAAGGGAAGACUAAGCAUAUUCCUAUAUUGAAGAAGGAAAGAUAUCCAUGAUGGUGAUGCCACUAAAUAGAAGCAUCUUGGAUCUUACUAUUUGGAGUAGAACCACACAAGGAGAAGCCAUCCAACCUACAUAAGACUAUGACAUGGGUUCUCUACACGGCUGGCGCCACAUUGCCUGGUUUUCUACCGUACAUAUGGUGACAAAGAAAAAGGAAGAUGGAGUCGCUGUGCUGAACAUACCUGGCUUCCAGGUAGCUCUUUCCUAUUGGCACAAGCUGCCAGCAUUCAUCUGUGCAAGUUUCCAGCUUGCUUAUCUAUGUUUGCAGAUAGAUUUUUCAGGCUGCUCUUUGUUAGAAAAGAAAUGAUUUGGGGGCUGCUUUUUUUGAUGUUGUUGUUAAAAAGGAAAUUCACUGAGGACUCUGUUGCCUUACUAUCUGCCUAAAUAAUUUAUUUCUAUCUCCUGUAUCACUAUGACAGGGGGAAACAAACAAGAAAAGAAGGGCUGAUCCUGCCUUCUACAUAUGUGGUGAUGCUGUUUGUUCAUUUAUGGGUCACUUUUUUGUAUCUGAGACGGAGCUUGGCUCUUGUUGCCCAGGCUGGAGUGCAGUGGUGCGAUCUCGGCUCACCGCAACCUCCACCUCCUGAGGUCUAGGGAUUCUCCUGCCUCAGCCUCCGAGUAGCUGGGAUUACAGGCACGCACCACCACGCCCAGCUAAUUUUGUAUUUUUGGUAGAGACGGGGUUUUUGUAUGUUGGUCAGGCUGGUCUUGAACUCCUGACCUCAGGUGAUCUGCCUGCCUCGGCCUCCCAAAGUGCUGGGAUUACAGGCGUGAGCCACCUCGCCCGGCCUAUUGGGCACUGUUAAGUGACAUUUUUGUGAAGAUUCUGUGGGACAUGGAGAAACUUCCUCUUGGGAGCUAGCUUGUGCUAAUCCCCACAGCACAAGUGGGAAUUAAUGUGUGCUCACUGAUUCAUGCUGGUUGAAGUGUUUUUUUUUUUUUUUCUGAAGGCUUUUUUCCUUUGACAUUUUCUAUUUUUCUAACUAAAAGACCGGCUCCGUGAGUUUAAAGGAUUAUAAUCUUUUGCAUUUGUAUUUUUCUGCAUGCAUUGAAGAGCAUUUAAGAAUAUUGCCAAUUAAAAGAAUAUGCAUUUAAUUUAGAAAUAUGAAUUUGAUUAGCUAAUGUUCAUCUUUAACAUUUUCUAAGGCUGAAAUGCUAAUCUCUUUGCUUUCUUAUCAGACUAAUGUUCAGAUCACACUGGCUUGAUAGCUGACUCAUUUUCUCAGUGCAGUGAAGGGUGGCCACCUGCCAAUAAAUGAUGCCUAAUACCACAGUUAAAUGAAAGGCUACCAUUGAAAUGGAAAAUUUGCUGGAGAAAGUUGAUUAAGUAACAUUUCACGGAAGAGGAGAAUUGUAAUAACCAUUUGAUAGAAGAGAGAUGUCCUUGAACUCAAUCUAUCCUGAAGAUGCUCCUGAGAGGGCAAACAAAUAACAUCUCUCUGGAAGGAUGCCUGCCUUUGUCAAAGCUUUCAAAUCUGUAUGACUUCUAUCUUUCCUUGGCUUCCCUUACUCAAUUAGUCAAGGAUCCUUGUGGAUGUUUAACAUAAAAUGUCACUCACAUCUGCCCUCCUCCUCAACUUUCCAUUCCAUCCUCUCCACAGAUGCCUGAUGCAUUUUCUUCUGACUCAGUCUUCUGUUUUUCAUGGAGAACACAGAGCAAGACAGAAGCUCCCAACUGUGGCAUCCAAGAGCAACUUGAGCUGCUCCCUUACUUAUCUCUGGUAAUGAUUUGAAUCCUUUGCUUUUGCCAGACUGACUCAUCUAGUCAUUGCUCCCCAAAUAUUCAUUUCCCCAUUAUUUCUUGUGGCCUAAGCACCAAAUUUUGUUCUUUCAAAAUCUACUCUUCCUUCAGGUCUGGCUCAAACUCUUUGUGAUGACUGUUCUACCAUAUGGCUUAAUAGCUAAGUACACAUGCAUUGACCUCAAGCCUUCCCACAGCUCAGGUUCCUGAGGCACAGACUCUGGAUGGAAAUUAGCACAUAAUAGGUUUAUUAGAAAGUGCUCUUGGAAUUAACAUCUUUGGAGGAAGAAAAGAAGCAAUAUUGUCCAGAGAGGGAAGUUGAACUGCAAUGAAGUUGCCACAGAGGCUUCAAUGAAUCCUUCUGGGUGUAGAGCUGGGAUGACCUUUCCAGAGUUUUCCAAUUAAGGGAAUUGUAUCUCACCUCAAUCUCUAGUCUGAACCUUGGGUGAGGCAGCUUCUUUCAGCCAAUGGCAAUUCCUGGAGGCACCAGGAGUUAUGAGCAGUCAACACUCUUUCUUUGCUCCUGAGAAAAUUGAGUGCCCUCUUUGGUCCUGAAAGCAGCUCUGGGCAGCACUCCACAGCAUCCACUACAGACUUAGUGAGUUCACCCUGGCUCUCCCACUUACAGAUUGCAGUUCUUGUAACAAGAAUGGGAUGACUGAAACACCUGAUGCAUUCCAGAGCCUACAAAUAAAGUCUUGGGACAACUGACAAAAAGCCAACAACAAAAGGUUAAAAUCUUUUACCGAAGUCAGUUUUCUCAGCCCUCUACCUGCAGUGCCUGGUCAAGAAUAAAAGCUGCUUUGAUUUAAGAAGACAAUACCAUUUCCAGACAUCUCUUUCCUGGGGCUAACUAUAUUAGUAUUCUGCCCUGAUGGGAAGGAAGAAACUUCAUGGGCAGUAAAUAGCCAAUUUAGAAGCAGGAGAAAUAUGAGGAUAAUAUUCUAUUUACUUAAGGGACACAAAGUAAAUAAAUGUUUUUGAAACUGAAUUGGAUUGAAGUGGAUCCAGAUUUUCACAGGAAAAAAAAGUUUCCUUUUCCCUUAGUUCUCCUUACACACCUGGCUUUGCAGGAAAAGAAAUUAUCAUUUGGAAACACACAUCUGCCUCAGCCACAGGUAGAAAAGGCUUGGACUACAUGUUUGGUUUGAAGUUUGAAAAUCUCAGUCCUUCCCCAACCAUCAAAAAUAUUUACCUCCCUCCCUUGUCUCACAAUCAUCUAAGCUGCCUUCUUGAAUUGACUCCCACACCUGUUCAUCAUAGAAGGAAAAAAAUAAAAGCAAAUGCCAUAUAAAAUCUCUCUUCUUCAACAAGGUCUUCUGUUUUGAAAUAUUGAAACAGUUCCUGUUCUAUUACCUCACCAGCUGUGGCCUUUUAUCUCCUAAAGGGAAUAGCUGACGUCUUACCAGUCAAAGUCAUUGUGCUUACGGACGCCAUAAAUAUCUCCUUUAAAUCCUACAUGAUAAAUUUCCCUCUGAUUGGUAAAGCAGAUACUGUAACAUGCAAAGGGGGAGCAGGAGAGUCUUUGAUGAUGUUAAACUAAGCCCCUGGAGAUAUCCCAGCUCUUCCUCCAGAAUUUUACUUUCCAACAACUGGAGUCAACAAAUACGGUAGAAAAUGUUGUCUGGAUUAUCUACUCCCAUUAUUUUUUUUUAAACUGGUUUUCAAUGAUGGGCAACCUAAAAUUUACUCACACAGAACACAAAACAGUUGAAUUUGUUAAAAGUCCAAAAUGUGCUUUUGUACUUUUGUAAAAUGGGAAUGUGCUUCUUGUACAAAUCACAAUAUGCUUUCUAGACCACAACCUAAAAAGGAAAGAAAAAAAUCCUGUGAAUAAAAAAAAAAAACAAGGACUUUCAGUUUUCUACAUGCAUUUGAAAUGACUUUA